GCCACACCCGCGGCCCUGCAGUUCCACUCCCGCCUGCCAGCCCUCAACUCCCGGUCGGGUUGUCUCCCCGCCGGUCUCCCGCCCCCAGCUACCGGGUCCGCCAGGGUCAGGAGCCCGAGAUUCGCCGCCCGUCGUAGCGGCCCGCUUCGGCCCCUCGGGGCCCGGGGCUCUCCGGGACCUACACAGCCCGGGAGACUCCGGCGGGGCUGCCUGCCCUCGCCCGAGCCCGGGGGCCCAAGCUGCGGCAGCGGCUCCCAACGCCUCUGCUCGAGGAGAGCGGCGGCCUGGAUGCCCCAGCGCCCUCCCUGUCCAGUUCCUUGAAGGCCCCCAAGAGGGGCGAGGCCGGGGAGGUGCUGGAGCGGGGCCAAGUGAGCUUUCGGGGCCGCGGUUGAACUGGAGUCUUGAGUGCGCUGCGGUCAGUGGAGGCCCUUCCACCCUCGCCGCGCCCCGUGGGGAAUAGUCCCCCACCUCCCGCCAUGGCUGCAGCAGGAGGAGACGACGUCCUCCAUUUUGUCGGGACAACUGUGGGAACUUGGGACCCCUCAAAACCAAACCCCGUGGGGCCAGGACUUGUCCCGGAAGCCCCGACUGGGCUCUGCCAUUCGGACAAGGGAACAGCCCCAGCUGCCGGCGUCUGCGUCCGCGGGGCAGUACUGGUCGGGCGCGACGGUGGAGACACCCAGACGCAGCUCCCCGCCUCCAUCAACCAAGAUGGAGGGAGCUGCAGGCUCCCUUGGAGCUGGGCUCUCGCGGGUUGGAGGGGCUGAGGCCUGCCCUGGGGCGUCCCUGGGCGCCGCCGUCCUGUGCUAGCAGCCCGGGGCGCUGGCCCUGCCUAGGCCUUUUUACUGCCUGCCACCGUCUCCUGGUCCGGAAUGGUUGAUGGAGACUCCAUGGAGGCUCCCUCCACAGCCCGCUCUAUCGCGGGGCGCACCCGCUGCGGCCCCUGCGGGGAGCAGAAUCAGGGACAGAUGGCGCCCGGUGAGGGCGGGCCCCACAGGCCACCUCCACGAGGGGUCUUCUCUUUUGUUCCUCGUCUACACCUACGUCUUCGGCGGAUGUCAUGGUGCUGAACCAUUUCCCGGACUCCACGUAAAGAUGGAAGCGAUUCCGCUUUCGUCUCGCCCUGGCGGUUCUUAGUGGGAUUACAAUUGAGGAUGUUAGUUUGGAUGAAAGUUGGUGAAAUACUUACCUUAUGUCUGGAAAUACAGAUAAUGUGAUUUUUAAAAAACACAUUGAGCCCCGUUUUACUUCUGUGGUAUGGUAAAGGCACAGGUUUAUUCAAUGAAAAUCAGACGUUAACCAUCUAAUGCAGGGGUGGCCAAUCUUUUGGCUUCCCGGGGCCACAUUGGAAGAAUUGGCUUGGGCCACACAUAAAAUACGCUAACAGUAACAAUAGCUGAUGAGCUAAAACAAACGAAAAAACCAAAACGCCAAAAAAAUCUCAUAACGUUUUAAGAAAAUUUACAAAUAUGUGUUGGGCUGCAUUCAAAGCCGUCCUGGGCCGCAUGCAACCCCCAAGGGCUGCAGGUUGGACAAGCUUGAUCUAAGACAAAAGCAUGUUCACGGAUUGAUGAGAGUUCUGUGUAAGCCUUUGCAUAUUGCAUAGUGCUGUAUGUCAUGGAUAUGCCUAAUAUCACCUACAUUUUUUAGGUCCUCAGUUACUCUUUGGAAAUAAGUGAAUUACAUGUAAUGUCAUCAUUUUAAUGACUGCUGUAAAUUACAAGCACUGACUACCCUGAGUUCGUGGAGAAGGGCUCCAUAGAGAAAAUUUGAAGGUCUGACAGAAACUUUAAAUGCAACAUGGAAGCAGCUGGAGGCCAUUAUCCUAGGUGAAUUAACACCAAAACAGAAAACCAAAUACUGCGUGUUCUCCCUUAUGAGAGCUAAACAUUGAGUACACAUGGAUAUAAAGAUAGGAACAAUAGACUCUGGGGACUCUAAAAAGCGGGGAGGAAAAGAGGGGAAAAGGGUUGAAAAACUACCUAUUGAGUACUAUGUUCACUAUUUGGGUGACGUGAAGGUUCAAUAGAAGCUCAAAACUUCAGCAUCACACAAAAUAUCCUAAAUGAAACAAACCUAAACAUGUACCCACUGAAUCUGAAAUUAAAAAUAAAUAAAUAAAAUUGGCU
rnacentral:lncRNA from 10 species